UACGAAGGGGGCUAGCGUUGUUCGGAAUUACUGGGCGUAAAGGGCGCGUAGGCGGUGCUGUAAGUCAGGCGUGAAAUCCCCGGGCUCAACCUGGGAAUUGCGUCUGAUACUGCGGCGCUGGAAUGCGGGAGAGGAUGGCGGAAUUCCCAGUGUAGAGGUGAAAUUCGUAGAUAUUGGGAAGAACACCGGUGGCGAAGGCGGCCAUCUGGCCCGUAAUUGACGCUGAGGCGCGAAAGCGUGGGGAGCAAACAGGAUUAGAUACCCUGGUAGUCCACGCCGUAAACGAUGAGUGCUAGACGUCGGGGAGCUUGCUCUUCGGUGUCGCCGCUAACGCAUUAAGCACUCCGCCUGGGGAGUACGGUCGCAAGAUUAAAACUCAAAG
rnacentral:rRNA from 1 species